AUUGAACGCUGGCGGCAGGCCUAACACAUGCAAGUCGAACGAGUGGCGUACGGGUGAGUAAUGUCUGGGAAACUGCCCGAUGGAGGGGGAUAACUACUGGCAACGGUAGCUAAUCCCGCAUACCAUCCGAUGUUCCCAGAUGGGAUUAGCUAGUAGGGGGGGUAACGGCUCACCUAGGCGACGAUCCCUAGCUGGUCUGAGAGGAUGACCGGCGACACUGGAACUAAGACCCGGUCCAGACUCCAUCGGGAGGGAGCACUGGGGAAUAUUGAACAAUGGGCGCAAGCCUGAUGCAGCCAUGACGCGUGUAUGAAGAAGGCCUUCGGGUUGUAAAGUACUUUCAGCGGGGAAGCGUUACUCGCAGAAGAAGCACCGGCUAACUCCGUGCCAGCAGCCGCGGUAAUAC
rnacentral:rRNA from 1 species